UGUAUUUGGUAAUGCAGACAAAUGUUUACAUUAUUGCAGAAAGUUCUCUUGGACAGGACCCAGAAGCAGGGAAUCUAGAAUCAGGGUAGAAUUCCAGACACCCUUGAUCAUCCUUUGGGUCCUUCCAGGUCUGUCCCCCACAGUAACCACACUGGAGUGGACUCACUGUGUACCUUGCCGCCUUGGCACAGAGACUGGACAGAGUUGCCAUCUAUGAGGAAUUCCUGUGGCUGACCCAGAAUGGUACCCAGCUGCAGAACUUGACCCUGGACAGGAAGAGUGUCCUUGGGGAUGAAUAUUCUCCCAACAGAGAUGACACCUUGACUGAGAAGCCUGGUAAACCUGCAGGAAGCCCCAGCCCACGGUAGGGGGCGAGUAUCUUGAUGCUGUGCCUCAUCGAAGAGAACCAUGCGCACAGGGUCUUGGAUGAUGAGGAAAGUUGGCCAACCCUUGUCAAGGAUGGUUGAGGCACAGUGGGGUCAGCAGGAGCCCUGGGGCAAUGACAGGAGGUGGCUCAUCCCAGCACUUGUCUCCGCAGACCACCCCGUCUGGGCUCUCAUCCUCAUCUGCUUGGCGGGAAUCCUGGUGCUCAUCACAGGCCUCAUCUGCUGUCUCCUGGAAAACAUUUUAACCCUGCUGUUCCCAUGAUGUCACAAGGACUAGAGUGUUGGGGAGGACUGAGAGCACACUCUUCCUCUGGAGUAUGUUAGACUCUAAGGGUCCAUGACACAGGAGUGGGGAACAUUUCAUUCAUCGAGGAUUGAGCCUCUCGUGCUGGGUGUUGAAAGAAACACCAGUGACGUCCCCGUGUAUUCACGUGGAGUAUCUGACAGUCAGUCAUUGCAGGAUUACAGAAGGAAGGGCAGUUCAGAGGGGAGGCCCCGUGGAGGCAGGCAUGGAGGAGCGCGUGGUGACUGACACCGAGAGCUUGUGACCCGGGCAGGUGGCAGACUCUGUUCGGUCAGAAGACUCUGCCGACUGCAGUGCAUAGAAAUCCACGUCCGUCCACGGGAAGUCGCAGGACGAGAACACCGCUGACAGGAAGUCACCUGUCAGAGCGUGCGGCACGAGUGGUGAGAAUGUUGAGUCUGAACCAAGGUCGUGGUGUCACAGUGGUGGAAAGGCCACUGGAGGUGAAAGAAGCAGACCCAGAGUCAUUUCCAAGAACAAACUGGAAGGUUUAUGGGACCAAUUAGGCAGAGAUCCUGAGGAGGAGAGGUGAAGAUGUGCAGUGGUUUCCGGCCAGGAAGAAGAGUGUUCCAUGGACGGUGAGGACAGAUGCGUGCUGGGCUUCUCUGAGGGCUGGGAAGACGCACGGGGAGCUUGAUUUUAGACAUGACACAAGUUCAGUGAUGGUGCUCAACACACAUGCGCCAAGGCGUGUCUCUCACACACACACAGCCUAAGAACAGAGUCCAUGAUCAUGGCACAGCCAGAGUGGGCACGACACUGUCGCCACUGACACAGGCAGGGUGAGGGGGUUGGGCCUGUCAGGUGUUCUGAGGAGAAGUCGGCCGGCCUGAGAGUGCUGGAAGGUGCUCAAUUCUCAUCAAGAGGAGGGCCGGUUUCAGAGAUGAGAAGAGAGAGCUGGAGAGGGGAGAGCAGAGUCAGGAAAGGGCGGUGAACCAUGAAGCCGAGCAAGGAGGGUCCCUGUGGGGCCACACGUUUCCCAGAGGCCUGAUAGGGUCAGAACGUUAGGGGCUUCCUCGGAGAUCUCACUCUCCACGGAAUGGUGAGCGCAGAGGUCAAGGGCAGGAUGGAAUAAGGGAUGCACGGCGAGGCCUUAGUGACUGCUGCCCUGAUGUACGGGAAGAAAGGCUUCCAGGUCACGCCCAGGCCCCACCAGAUGUGUGCCGGCUGUGUGACAGGAGGCGGCAGGAGGAAGAGAGGGGUGAGCACUGAUAUGGCAGUCAGAACUCCAAGGCUCAGCGAACAGGUGGCCCCAGAGAAGAGGAGAGGAGACUUCCUCCUGGAAGGACGUGCACAGGGAGAAGCUAAGGCCUGUCCUUGCAGGGGCUGGGCGUUAGUGUGCAAUCUCAUCGGUUUUGGGGAGUGAAUGUGUGUUUCUGGAGCACGCACAACAUGCCGGGUGCUGUGUGGCAUCUGGAUGAAAACACUGAACUGACGCAGGCGCAGGUCCUCACAGGGGCUGGCAGGGGAGACAGACCUGCCGGGAGGCACGGGCAGCAGGCCCAGGCGGGGGGAGGGCAGGCCUCCACUGCAGGCCGGGAGGUAGCAGGAGGAGCCCACAGAGCCAGCCUCACCCACACAAGGACCGGGAGAUGAGAAGAAUAUAGGAGAAGACAG